UACGAAGGGGGCUAGCGUUGCUCGGAAUUACUGGGCGUAAAGGGCGCGUAGGCGGUUCGUUAAGUCCUGUGUGAAAUCCCCCGGCUCAACUGGGGAACUGCACAGGAAACUAGCGGGCUUGAGUUCGGGAGAGGGAAGCGGAAUUCAUGGUGUAGCAGUGAAAUGCGUAGAGAUCAUGAGGAAGACCAGUGGCGAAGGCGGGUCUCUGGACAGUUCCUGACACUGAGGCACGAAGGCCAGGGGAGCAAACGGG
rnacentral:rRNA from 1 species